AACGAACGCUGGCGGCAUGCCUAACACAUGCAAGUCGAACGAGACCUUCGGGUCUAGUGGCGCACGGGUGCGUAACGCGUGGGAACCUGCCCUUAGGUUCGGAAUAACUCCCCGAAAGGGGUGCUAAUACCGGAUAAUGUCUUCGGACCAAAGAUUUAUCGCCUUUGGAUGGGCCCGCGUUGGAUUAGCUAGUUGGUAGGGUAAAAGCCUACCAAGGCGACGAUCCAGAGCUGGUCUGAGAGGAUGAUCAGCCACACUGGGACUGAGACACGGCCCAGACUCCUACGGGAGGCAGCAGUGGGGAAUAUUGGACGAUGGGCGAAAGCCUGAUCCAGCAAUGCCGCGUGAGUGAUGAAGGCCUUAGGGUUGUAAAGCUCUUUUACCCGGGAUGAUAAUGACAGUACCGGGAGAAUAAGCUCCGGCUAACUCCGUG
rnacentral:rRNA from 1 species